AGAGUUUGAUCAGUGGCUACAGGACGAACGCUGGCGGUGUGCUUCACACAUGCAAGUCGAACGAGGUAGCAAUACCUAGUGGCGGACGGGUGAGUAACGCGUGGGAAUCUGCCUUUAGAUGGGGGAUAACGGGUCGAAAGACUCGCUAAUACCGCAUAUGACGAAAGUUGAAAGGAGUAAUCCGUCUAAAGAUGAGCCCGCGUACGAUUAGCUAGUUGGUAGAGUAAAAGCCUACCAAGGCGACGAUCGGUAGCUGGUCUGAGAGGAUGAUCAGCCACAAUGGGACUGAGACACGGCCCAUACUCCUACGGGAGGCAGCAGUGGGGAAUUUUACGCAAUGGGCGAAAGCCUGACGUAGCGACACCGCGUGAGCGAAGAAGCCCCUUGGGGUGUAAAGCUCUGUCAGCUGGAACGAAAAAAUGACGGUACCAGCAGAGGAAGCAUCGGCUAACUACGUG
rnacentral:rRNA from 1 species